UACGUAGGUGGCAAGCGUUGUCCGGAUUUACUGGGCGUAAAGCGUAUGCAGGCGGAUGUUUAAGUAAGAGGUGAAAGGUUGCGGCUCAACCGCAACACUGCCUCUUAUACUGGACAUCUUGAGUGGCGGAGAGGAAGACGGAACUCCAUGUGUAGCGGUGAAAUGCGUAGAUAUAUGGAGGAACACCAAUGGCGAAAGCAGUCUUCUGGACGCAAACUGACGCUGAGAUACGAAAGCUAUGGUAGCGAACAGG
rnacentral:rRNA from 1 species